rnacentral:ncRNA from 1 species
GGCUCCGUAAUCGGAAUGAGUGAACUCUAAAUCCUUUCACGAGGAUCAAUUGAAGGGCAAGUCUGGCGCCAGUAGCAGCGGUUACUCUAGCUCCAAUAGCGUAUAUUUAAGCUCCUGCAGAUAAAAUCCUCGUAGUUGAAUCUCGGUAUCACUGUCGCCUGUCAGUCCUCGGCUGAUUGUGUUGGUGUAGGUGGGACCUUGCUUCGCUCGGUGGCCCUUGCCCAGGCAUGGUUAUGCUCGAUUCGAUGUGGUGGUGGUGGUGUCACCUUUCAGCCAUGUCUAUGGUGAAAUACCCGCAGGUUUAGGCGAGUGCCAGGUGGUGCUUUGCGAGAACAGGGUCCGUCGGCUUGUGGCAAUCAAGCGUUCAUAGCGACGUCGUUUUUUGAUACAUCGAUGUCGGCUCUUCCUAUGAUUGUGAAGCAGAAUUCACCAAGCGUUUGAUUGUUCACCCACUAAUAUGAACCGCGAGCUGGGUUUAGAACGUCAUGAGAUAGGGUAGUUUUACCCUACUGAUGGUUGAACUGUGUAAACAGUGAAGUACAAUCUGGCCAUUGCAAUGGUUAUACUGUUUAAUA